rnacentral:rRNA from 1 species
UACGUAGGGUGCAAGCGUUAUCCGGAAUUAUUGGGCGUAAAGAGCUCGUAGGCGGUCUGUCGCGUCGGCUGUGAAAUCCCGGAGCUCAACUCCGGGCCUGCAGUCGAUACGGGCAGACUGGAGUUCGGCAGGGGAGACUGGAAUUCCUGGUGUAGCGGUGAAAUGCGCAGAUAUCAGGAGGAACACCGGUGGCGAAGGCGGGUCUCUGGGCCGAUACUGACGCUGAGGAGCGAAAGCGUGGGGAGCGAACAGG